rnacentral:rRNA from 1 species
CCUACGGGUGGCAGCAGUCGAGAAUCAUUCACAAUGGGGGAAACCCUGAUGGUGCGACGCCGCGUGGGGGAAUGAAGGUCUUCGGAUUGUAAACCCCUGUCAUGUGGGAGCAAAUUAAAAAGAUAGUACCACAAGAGGAAGAGACGGCUAACUCUGUGCCAGCAGCCGCGGUAAUACAGAGGUCUCAAGCGUUGUUCGGAAUCACUGGGCGUAAGGCGUGCGUAGGCUGUUUCGUAAGUCGUGUGUGAAAGGCGCGGGCUCAACCCGCGGACGGCGCAUGAUACUGCGAGACUAGAGUAAUGGAGGGGGAACCGGAAUUCUCGGUGUAGCAGUGAAAUGCGUAGAUAUCGAGAGGAACACUCGGGGCGAAGGCGGGUUCCUGGACAUUAACUGACGCUGAGGCACGAAGGCCAGGGGAGCGAAAGGGAUUAGAUACCCGAGUAGUC